GACAGAGGGGGCAAGCGUUGCUCGGAAUCACUGGGCGUAAAGGGCGCGUAGGCGGGAUGGCAAGUCGGUCGUGAAAUCCCUGGGCUCAACUCAGGGGGGUCGGCCGAUACUGCCGUUCUUGAGGGAUGCAGAGGAGACUGGAAUUCCCGGUGUAGCGGUGAAAUGUGUAGAGAUCGGGAGGAACACCGGUGGCGAAGGCGGUUCUCUGGGCCUUACCUGACGCUGAGGAGCGAAAGCGUGGGGAGCGAACAGG
rnacentral:rRNA from 1 species